rnacentral:rRNA from 1 species
GAUGAACGCUGGCGGCGUGCCUAAUACAUGCAAGUCGAGCGAACAGACGAGGAGCUUGCUCCUCUGACGUUAGCGGCGGACGGGUGAGUAACACGUGGAUAACCUACCUAUAAGACUGGGAUAACUUCGGGAAACCGGAGCUAAUACCGGAUAAUAUAUUGAACCGCAUGGUUCAAUAGUGAAAGACGGUUUUGCUGUCACUUAUAGAUGGAUCCGCGCCGCAUUAGCUAGUUGGUAAGGUAAAGGCUUACCAAGGCGACGAUGCGUAGCCGACCUGAGAGGGUGAUCGGCCACACUGGAGCUGAGACACGGUCCAGACUCCUACGGGAGGCAGCAGUAGGGAAUCUUCCGCAAUGGGCGAAAGCCUGACGGAGCAACGCCGCGUGAGUGAUGAAGGUCUUCGGAUCGUAAAACUCUGUUAUUAGGGAAGAACAAAUGUGUAAGUAACUAUGCACGUCUUGACGGUACCUAAUCAGAAAGCCACGGCUAACUACGUG